rnacentral:SRP_RNA from 2 species
GGGCGGGAUAGUCCGGGCAGCUCGGCGUUGCCUGUCGCCCGAAAUCGUCGAUAUGCGGGGGACGAAUCCCGUGGGAGAUGCACACCCUCACCGUCGAGGUGCUCACAACCUCAACCAUGAGGCUCCGUCCAGCGGGGAUGGCGUUGAUGCAGGGGCUUGUCGGAGGACAUGUUCCUGCAUCUUAACCGUGGACACCGGCCGAGGCCCGGAAGGGAGCAGGCUAACUGCGGACACCCAUCGCUCGCUGGGCAGCGGGGCUGAGAAGGGGUGUGGGCACUCGCAGUGGGGAUGCAGCGACCACGGGCUCCCGCCC